rnacentral:rRNA from 1 species
AUUGAACGCUGGCGGCAGGCCUAACACAUGCAAGUCGAACGAGUGGCGGACGGGUGAGUAAUGUCUGGGAAACUGCCUGAUGGAGGGGGAUAACUACUGGAAACGGCUGCUAAUACCGGAUGCCUGAGGAUGAGCCCGCGUUGGAUUAGGUAGUUGGUGGGGUAAAGGCCUACCAAGCCGACGAUCCAUAGCUGGUCUGAGAGGAGGAUCAGCCACACUGGGACUGAGACACGGCCCAGACUCCUACGGGAGGCAGCAGUGGGGAAUAUUGCACAAUGGGCGCAAGCCUGAUGUAGCCAUGCCGCGUGUAUGAAGAAGGCCUUCGGGUCGUAAAGUACUUUCAGCGGGGAGGCGUUACCCGCAGAAGAAGCACCGGCUAACUCCGUGCCAGCCGCCGCGGUAAUUC